GCUUAGUCGCGUGCGUGACGGGGUACCCCAAGUGCCGUUGGUCUUUGAUCGACGGCUUUUCGGGAGUCUAAGAAGCUCCCGGAAUAAGGGCUGGGUAAGUCGGGUGCCAGCAGCCGCGAAUAAUAAUCUU
rnacentral:rRNA from 1 species